AUCCCUGCUGUGUGUCCCUGGUUCCCGUACGAUCAGCGAAGUUAAGCAACGUCGUGCCUAGUCAAUACCUAGAUGGUUGACCACUUGGGAAUAGCAGGUG